rnacentral:rRNA from 1 species
GACAGAGGUCCCGAGCGUUAGGCGGAAUCACUGGGCUUAAAGCGUGUGUAGGCGGUUGCCUAAGUACCUUGUGAAAUCCCACGGCUCACCCGUGGAACUGCUUGGUAUACUGGGUGUCUUGAGCCACUUAGGGGCUACCGGAACAAAUGGUGGAGCGGUGAAAUGCGUAGAUAUCAUUUGGAACGCCAAUGGUGAAAACAGGUAGCUGGGAGUGUGCUGACGCUGAGACACGAAAGCCAGGGGAGCAAACGGG